CGGAGCAUGUGGUUAAUUCGACGAUACGCGAAGAACCUUACCAGGUCUUGACAUCCCCUGCAAAGCUAUGGAGACAUAGUGGAGGUUAUCAGGGAGACAGGUGGUGCAUGGUUGUCGUCAGCUCGUGUCGUGAGAUGUUGGGUUAAGUCCCGCAACGAGCGCAACCCUUAUUGCUAGUUACCAUCAUUAAGUUGGGGACUCUAGCGAGACUGCCAGUGAUAAACUGGAGGAAGGUGGGGAUGACGUCAAAUCAUCAUGCCCCUUAUGACCUGGGCUACAAACGUGAUACAAUGGCUGAAACAAAGGGCAGCGAAGGAGCGAUCUGGAGCGAAACCCAAAAAAGCAGUCUCAGUUCGGAUUGAAGUCUGCAACUCGACUUCAUGAAGUCGGAAUCGCUAGUAAUCGCGGAUCAGAACGCCGCGGUGAAUACGUUCUCGGGGUUU
rnacentral:rRNA from 1 species